CGUCAACCAAAUGGCAAUGCGCCGUAUUCGGACAUGAACAACGAAUCGCAAGAUCGCCAAUCGCGUGAAAAAAAUAUCAUUAUCUUUAACGUCCCCGAACUGAACAACGGUGCCGACGAUUCGUUAGUUAUUAAUGAUGAUUUUUCUCAGAUCGGUGCCCCCGUUACUACUUCGCAAAUUGUUCGUUUGGGUAAAAUAGGAUCAAAACCCCGUCCAAUCAAAGUCACACGCAGUGCGAAAUCCGACGUCGGUUUAAUAAUCAAAUCAACAAAUCGUUUCCGUGAAUUUCCCAAUAUUAAAAAUAUACACAUAACGGUUGAUUGGACUCAUC